rnacentral:misc_RNA from 1 species
CAGAGUGUAAAAACUCCCUAAACCCCUGUGAACAUACCAUCUGUUGCUUCGGCGGACCGUCCCUGGCCUUCCCGGCCGGGAACCAGGCGCCCGCCGGGGGAAACCAAACUCUUGUUUUUUCAGUAUCUUCUGAGUGGCGUAAAGCAAAAAAUAAAUCA